GGUUAAGUUAAUAAGGGCGCACGGUGGAUGCCUUGGCACUAGAAGCCGAUGAAGGACGUGACUAACGACGAAAUGCCUUGGGGAGCUGUAAGUAAGCAAUGAUCCAGGGAUGUCCGAAUGGGGGAACCCGGCAGGUAAUGCCUGUCACUCACUACUGUUAAGGUAGUGAAGAGGAAGACGCAGUGAACUGAAACAUCUAAGUAGCUGCAGGAAGAGAAAGCAAAAGCGAUUGCCUUAGUAGCGGCGAGCGAAACGGCAGGAGGGCAAACCGAGGAGUUUACUCCUCGGGGUUGUAGGACUGCAAUGUGGACUUAAAGAGUAUAGAAGAACUACCUGGGAAGGUAGGCCAAAGAGAGUAAUAGCCUCGUAUUUAAAAUAUUUUUUAUACCUAGCAGUAUCCUGAGUACGGCGAGACACGCGAAAUCUCGUCGGAAUCCGGGAGGACCAUCUCCCAACCCUAAAUACUCUCUAGUGACCGAUAGUGAACCAGUACCGUGAGGGAAAGGUGAAAAGUACCCCGGAAGGGGAGUGAAAUAGAACCUGAAACCGUGUGCCUACAACAAGUUCGAGCCCGUUAAUGGGUGAGAGCGUGCCUUUUGUAGAAUGAACCGGCGAGUUACGAUAUGAUGCGAGGUUAAGUUGAAGAGACGGAGCCGUAGGGAAACCGAGUCUUAAUAGGGCGGAUUAGUAUUAUGUCGUAGACCCGAAACCAUGUGACCUACCCAUGAGCAGGUUGAAGGUGCGGUAAGACGCACUGGAGGACCGAACCAGGGCACGUUGAAAAGUGCUUGGAUGACUUGUGGGUAGCGGAGAAAUUCCAAACGAACUUGGAGAUAGCUGGUUCUCUCCGAAAUAGCUUUAGGGCUAGCGUCGACAUUUGAGAAUCUUGGAGGUAGAGCACUGUUUGGAUGAGGGGGCCAUCUCGGUUUACUGAUUUCAGAUAAACUCCGAAUGCCAAUGAUUUAUGGUCGGCAGUCAGACUGCGAGUGCUAAGAUCCGUAGUCGAAAGGGAAACAGCCCAGACCACCAGCUAAGGUCCCAAAAUAAUUGUUAAGUGGAAAAGGAUGUGGGGUUGCACAGACAACUAGGAUGUUAGCUUAGAAGCAGCUAUUCAUUCAAAGAGUGCGUAAUAGCUCACUAGUCGAGUGACCCUGCGCCGAAAAUGUACCGGGGCUAAAACAAUUUACCGAAGCUGUGGAUAACACUUUAGUGUUAUGGUAGGAGAGCGUUCUAUGUGUGAAGAAGGUAUACCGUGAGGAGUGCUGGAACGCAUAGAAGUGAGAAUGCCGGUAUGAGUAGCGAAAGAUGGGUGAGAAUCCCAUCCACCGUAAGACUAAGGUUUCCAGGGGAAGGCUCGUCCGCCCUGGGUUAGUCGGGACCUAAGGAGAGACCGAAGGGUGUAUCCGAUGGACAACAGGUUGAUAUUCCUGUACUAGAGUAUGAAGUGAUGGAGGGACGCAGUAGGCUAACUAAAGCGGGCGAUUGGAAGUGCCCGUCUAAGCAGUGAGGUGUGAUAUGAGUCAAAUGCUUGUAUCUGUAACAUUGAGCUGUGAUGGGGAGCGAAGUUAAGUAGCGAAGUUAGUGACGUCACACUGCCGAGAAAAGCUUCUAGCGAUGUAUCAUACUCUACCCGUACCGCAAACCGACACAGGUAGUCGAGGCGAGUAGCCUCAGGUGAGCGAGAGAACUCUCGUUAAGGAACUCGGCAAAAUGACCCCGUAACUUCGGGAGAAGGGGUGCUGGCUUAAAGUCAGCCGCAGUGAAUAGGCCCAAGCAACUGUUUAUCAAAAACACAGCUCUCUGCUAAAUCGUAAGAUGAUGUAUAGGGGGUGACGCCUGCCCGGUGCUGGAAGGUUAAGAGGAGGGUUUAGCGCAAGCGAAGAUCUGAAUUGAAGCCCCAGUAAACGGCGGCCGUAACUAUAACGGUCCUAAGGUAGCGAAAUUCCUUGUCGGGUAAGUUCCGACCCGCACGAAAGGCGUAAUGAUUUGGGCACUGUCUCAACGAGAGACUCGGUGAAAUUUUAGUACCUGUGAAGAUGCAGGUUACCCGCGACAGGACGGAAAGACCCCAUGGAGCUUUACUGCAGUUUGAUAUUGAGUAUCUGUACCACAUGUACAGGAUAGGUAGGAGCCUACGAAGUCGGGACGCCAGUUUCGACUGAGGCGCUGUUGGGAUACUACCCUUGUGUUAUGGCUACUCUAACCCGGAUAGGUUAUCCCUAUCGGAGACAGUGUCUGACGGGCAGUUUGACUGGGGCGGUCGCCUCCUAAAAGGUAACGGAGGCGCCCAAAGGUUCCCUCAGAAUGGUUGGAAAUCAUUCGCAGAGUGUAAAGGUAUAAGGGAGCUUGACUGCGAGAGCUACAACUCGAGCAGGGACGAAAGUCGGGCUUAGUGAUCCGGUGGUUCCGUAUGGAAGGGCCAUCGCUCAACGGAUAAAAGCUACCCUGGGGAUAACAGGCUUAUCUCCCCCAAGAGUUCACAUCGACGGGGAGG
rnacentral:rRNA from 1 species